rnacentral:ncRNA from 1 species
UGCCGCACAACCUUCUGGUGUAGUGUUUGUCGCACAGCGAUGGCA